rnacentral:rRNA from 1 species
AGUCUAGCCUGCCCACUGAAAUUUUUUAAAUGGCCGCAGUAUCCUAACUGUGCAAAGGUAGCAUAAUCAUUAGUCUUUUAAUUGAAGGCUGGAAUGAAUGGUUGGAUGAAAUAUUAACUGUUUCAUAAAAAUUUAUAAUAGAAUUUUAUUUUUUAGUCAAAAAGCUAAAAUAUAAUUAAAAGACGAGAAGACCCUAUAAAUCUUUAUAUUUUAAAAAUUACAAUUAUAUAGAUAAAUUAAAUUUUAAUUUUCAAAAAUAUUUUAUUGGGGUGAUAUUAAAAUUUAAUAAACUUUUAAUUUAUUAUAAACAUAAAUUAAUGAAUUUUUGAUCCAUUUAUUAUGAUUAAAAAAUUAAGUUACUUUAGGGAUAACAGCGUAAUUUUUUUAGAGAGUUCAUAUUGAUAAAAAAGAUUGCGACCUCGAUGUUGGAUUAAGAUACAGUUUUAGGUGCAGCAGCUUAAACUUAAAGUCUGUUCGACUUUUAAAUUCU